UCUGGGUGCUUUUGCGAAAGGACCGCUCCUACGCCGUACAUGCUUGCAUCACAUACUACGAUUAAUGGGUGUUUGUGAUUGUAAUGCGCCAAAACUUUAUUACUCGUAAACUCUCUUUUCGCCGCUAAGAAAGCUGCUUCGCACUUCUGUGUCCAUCUGAAAAUCACAGCUUUGCCGCCUUCCUUUUGUAACAACGUAUGUAAUGGCGUUUAUUUCAUAAAGCAAUAUGUCAAAGUGGCGUCGCGACUGUUCCUUGGGCUUUCACUGAACGAGACAAUGCUUUCAAAAACGAUCUGAUGUUAGCCCAGAAACAUGGUAAUGCGACUUUAGAAAAUUUCCGAAAAACAUAGAUGGAAGAAAAUUGAUAAGAACAGAAACGGAGAUUGCCGUAGAUAUUUUGCUUACAUUUACACCAACCGUGGAUUCCGAGUCAUCAAAUCCUUUUUUAUCAGAAAAUCCAAUUAUUACGCUACGGAAUUUCAAUACCAAUAAUAUUCGAAUAUAAUAGCCAGAAAGGCAAUGGUUUCCUAAAUUUAUAUUUUUCCAGCCGGAUAAAAAUCAGGAUUUUAAAGAUAAUUAAUUCUGAUUUCAACAAAGUCAUAUAUUCUAGAGUUUUGCGUCAAUUACCACAACUAGGAGUCACGGUAUCGAAAUUACGAUCAUUGUAUUUUGGUACAUCUCACUCCGAGAAACUGAGUUAUUUAUUUUAUCUUCAUAAAGAAAAAACUGUAUUACCAUUUGCACAUGGUACGCCGGAUUAUAAAAUAAUGGAAUACUUAACGCAGAUGUGGACAGAUUUUGCUAAAACGGGAAAUCCAACACCUUCUUCAGCUACAUUUACAUGGACCCCAGUGAAAAGUAGAACAACGUAUGAUUAUUUAGAUAUUCAUACUAAACCUCAAAUGAAGAUUAUUAUUAUUAAAGAAAACCAACGAUGAAACUGGGAGAACAGACUUAAUUUAUCAGAAGAUAAUACCAAAUUGGAACAAUUUUCUGCUACAGAAUCAUUCGUUAACGAUACGAAACUCCGCACAGACUUAUAGUAUGACAUAAAAUAUGAGGAAAUCUAACUAAAAUAGAAUAGCUCUGAAAAAAACAUUUUGGUGCAAAAAACUGACAAAUUAACAAAAGACUGACAGUAGAAAACAAUGUGAUGUAUCAAUGGUAACCAAAGCUAAACCGUUUUUCCAAUUUGGAAUCUUCCUUUUUUUUAAACGC